rnacentral:rRNA from 1 species
AUUGAACGCUGGCGGCAUGCUUUACACAUGCAAGUCGAACGGUAACAGGUUAAGCUGACGAGUGGCGAACGGGUGAGUAAUGCAUCGGAACGUGCCCGGUCGUGGGGGAUAACGCAGCGAAAGCUGCGCUAAUACCGCAUACGAUCUGAGGAUGAGAGCGGGGGACCGUAAGGCCUCGCGCGAUCGGAGCGGCCGAUGUCAGAUUAGGUAGUUGGUGGGGUAAAGGCUCACCAAGCCGACGAUCUGUAGCUGGUCUGAGAGGACGACCAGCCCCACUGGGACUGAGACACGGCCCAGACUCCUACGGGAGGCAGCAGUGGGGAAUUUUGGACAAUGGGCGCAAGCCUGAUCCAGCAAUGCCGCGUGCAGGAAGAAGGCCUUCGGGUUGUAAACUGCUUUUGUACGGAGCGAAAAGGCUCUCUCUAAUACAGGGGGCUCAUGACGGUACCGUAAGAAUAAGCACCGGCUAACUACGUGCCAGCAGCCGCAGUAA